GUUGUAGCCAUCAAAAAUCUUGGGUUGGGUAUUUAAUUUCUGUGAUAAAUCAACACCACGUUGAAGCAUUCAUGAAUCAUGUCUCUAGUCAAACAAAAUUUAGUGAUUUACAGAAAAUAAUAUGUAAAGAUUUUAAAUGUCCAUGCUAGGAAGUGUGUUGUUGACAAGUGGCAUGAACACAGUAGACGGGAUGGAGCUGGGUGUGGAGAAGGAGACGAGAGAGGAGAACAAUUACAACUCCUGUCUCGUGGAGACAAUCCUCACCGAGACAGAGGAGUUUGAUGCUCAGAACUAUGCUGCACAACAAUCCAAUAGUAACAGCAACAUGAUUAACAUGACACAUAUGACCCAAAUCCAGAUGCGUAAACCCCUGGAGCCCCGGGAGAUGAGGAUGGAAGGGGUGUACAGUAUAGAACCGGAACAGGUAGAUCUGAAUGGAAAGAAAAGAAUUUACAAACAUCCAGAAGGGUUUCCCUGUGAUCUUUGCCCAUACAGAGCAAAGAUGAGGUCUCACUUGAGGGCGCAUCGGCAAAGUGUUCAUGAAGGGGUGAAAUAUCCCUGUGAUCAGUGUGAGUACAAGGCGACAGCUAUGGGUUCUCUACGACGUCAUUAUAACGCAAUCCACAGUGGAUUAAAGUACCCCUGCUCGGAGUGUGAUCACGUGAGCAACACCGCGGCAAACCUCAAAUACCACCACAAUACCGUGCACAUGGGACUCAGGCAGUUCCCCUGUCCUCAUUGUGAGUAUAAGGCAACCACUGCAAGUCACCUGAAGAAGCACAAAGAAAGCGUUCACGAGGGCAUAAAGUAUAAAUGCAACGAGUGUGAGCAUGAAUCUACAACUAAAGAAAGUUUAAAGUUACCCUGCCCUCACAAGCGCAAGAAUAAUCGGUCUAAAAGUGCGCAGGUUCACAAGCGGUCAUUGCACAAGAAGAUACUGUUUCCCUGUCCUUCAUGUGAAUAUGUGGCCAAGGUUAACAGUCAUCUCAAGCAACACGUGAGGAGUGUACACGACAAGAUCAGGUUUCCCUGUGACAAGUGUGAGUAUUCCGCCAUCAACAAUUCCCGGUUAAAACAUCACAAAGAAACUAUGCACAGUGGGCUCAAAUUCACCUGUGAUACUCACGCAGUUCAGAUCACCACCGCCAAGCAGCUGCGCCAGAUUAUGAGAGAAGAUGUAAAGUUUGAGUGUGAAGACUGCGCUAUAGUUGCCAAGGGGGCGAUUGAUAUUCUGAAGAAACAGAAGGUGUGUAAGGGCGACGAAGACAUUUAUGAAGAUGAUUUUGAAGAAUGGGAGAUAAAGAAAGAAAAGGGAGUGGUGAACAAAAACCAAUGUGAGAUCUGCAGCCACGAGGCCAGAAAUCCAGCGGAAUUAAAGCAACACAUAAUGGCCAUUCACGAGGGGGUCACCCACUCCUGUGAUCAUUGUGAAUUUAGCACAACUCACCCCAGUAGUUUGAAAAGACACAAACAAACUGUGCAUCCUUAUGUAGAUCUGAAAUAUGCUUGUGAUGACUGUGCCAAAACAGAAAUGGAGAUAUUCUCCAAGAUUGGAAACAAGGAAGAACUAAAGAAUUUGUUAGAACAAGGUCGAAAAAGUGACUGCCAGAAUUGUAAAGAUGUUGCCAAACGGAGUUUAGAACUUUUAAAGUUCCGAGAAGAAACACAAGUACUUAAUACAGAUUCACCACAGGUCUCUAAGUAUGUUUGUGACGAGUGUGGGUUUGAAGGAAGGAAUGUGGUCGACCUGCGACAACAUAAACUGACAGUACACCAGGGAAUCACAUAUCCCUGUGAUGUAUGUGACUAUGUAGCCGCACGACCUGAUGCUUUAAAACGACACAAGAAGGGUAAACACGAGGAGAAGAAGUUUCUGUGCGACCAGUGUCAGUUCCGGGCACAUAGUGCCAUUAAACUCAGUCAGCACAAACUAACCGCCCACGUGGGAAUACGCUACCCAUGUAACAUGUGUGACUUUCAGGCUUCCAAGCUUGCUAAACUAAAAGAACACAAGAUGACGGCCCAUGACGGCGCCUCAUUCCCCUGUGACGAAUGUGAGAAAGUAUUCCCGAGUCCGAAGGGUUUAAAGGACCACAAGGCAGUGCAUCGGUCAGGUCCUAAGUUUCAAUGUGAAGAAUGUGGAUUUUCAACAACCGUGGUAGAAUCAUUGCAGACUCAUAUAGACAGUGUUCAUAAAGGAUCUCGGUAUGAUUGUGAUGCUUGUGAGUUCCAGUGUUUGAACCCCGAGGAACUAAAGGAGCAUAUCAGCAAGAUCCACGAGAUCGUCGUCACAUUCGGCUGCGAUCAGUGUGCGUUCAAGUGCCUUACCGAGGUGGAGCUCCGAGCACAUAUUGAGACUCUACACCGUACCCCGGAGUUUGCAUGUCACAAGUGCGACAUCAAGCUACCAACUGAGGAAUAUCUUAAACUUCAUAUAGUGCGAGAACAUGAGAAAUUUCAGUGUGCUGAGUGUAACUAUGUGUGUGGGACGGAGGAGGAUUUAAUGCAACACAAGGCCACAAACCAUGAACCCGAAGGAUAUCCCUGUGACCUGUCUAAUCACCAGGAUAGGAGCAGGAACACAUACUAUGAAGAGAAGAUGACUAAACAUCCAUAUCUGCACAUUAACGGUCAGGAAUAUGAUCAGGCCACACUCUCCGGUCUUCUACCUUCUCCGUUCCGGAGUUCGAUACCUGGUACUAAUAUAUCUGUACCCGGAGCAUACCCAACCUACUCCAUCACCAAUACGGGAAGUAUCUCCUAUGGAGGGGUUCCUGUACCCAGUACAAUAUCCGUUCCUGGGUUCCCUAUACCCGGCUCUCUUACUAACUCCGGGAACGCUAACGCCUUGGUUAGAGGAGGGUAUCCCUGGACUACAGGUUUUAAUAUGAAUCCAGGCAGCUAUUAAUCAGUACCUUACUAUGGGAGUACACAAUUUUGUGUUGGGAGAAAAAAGUUAUAAUGACUGUUAGCAUUUCCCUUUAAAUGUUAAUUAUUUAAUGGUGAUUCGAUACACAACAGUGCUUCUAUUUAUUUUAUGUACAACAUGUUACUCAUCUGUCAGCUGUCAGCUGUUUGUUUGGACUGAGGUCCUGAUUAUUUCACUAUUAUAAAUCUAAACAACAAACUA
rnacentral:misc_RNA from 1 species